UCAGCCGCCGCGGUAAUACGGAGGGUGCAAGCGUUAUCCGGAUUUAUUGGGUUUAAAGGGUGCGUAGGCGGCAUUUUAAGUCAGUGGUGAAAUCCUGCAGCUUAACUGUAGAUGUGCCAUUGAAACUGAAGUGCUUGAGUGAUCUUGAGGUAGGCGGAAUGUGUAGUGUAGCGGUGAAAUGCUUAGAUAUUACACAGAACACCCAUUGCGAAGGCAGCUUACUAAGGAUAAACUGACGCUGAUGCACGAAAGCGUGGGGAUCGAACAGGAUUAGAUACCCUGGUAGUCCACGCCGUAAACGAUGAUGACUCGCUGUUGGCGAUACACAGUCAGCGGCUUAGCGAAAGCGUUAAGUCAUCCACCUGGGGAGUACGCUCGCAAGAGUGAAACUUAAAGGAAUUGGCGGGGGA
rnacentral:rRNA from 1 species